rnacentral:lncRNA from 1 species
AAGUUCAAGAACCACACCACACACAACCAGUCCCACAAACGGCACAGAAAUGGCAUCAAGAAACCCCUAGUCACAAAGAUACGAAUCUCUUAAGGGAGUUGAUCCCAACCAAGUUCCUGAGUAACACAAGAAAGGCCUGAAGAAGAUGCAGGCCAGCAAUGCAAAGGCAGUGAGUGCACGAGCAGAGGCCACCAAGGACUUGGUGAAGCCUCAGGCCAUCAAGCCCAAGAUGCCAAGGGGCCCCAGCCACAGACUCAGCCGUCUGGCUUUCAUCGAUCACCCCAAGCUUGGGAAGUAGAUUUGAAGCUACAUGGCCAAGGGUCGAGGACUCUGCCAACCAAAGCCCAAGGUUCAAACCAAGGCAGAGGCUGCAGCUCCAGCUAAGGUCUAGGCUUCAGCUACAUCUCAGGCUCCCAAACAUGUCCAGGCCCCUGUAAAGACCCCAUAG